rnacentral:rRNA from 1 species
UACGUAGGGGGCAAGCGUUGUCCGGAUUUAUUGGGUUUAAAGGGUGCGUAGGCGGUUAUAUAAGUCAGUGCUGAAAUAUCCCGGCUUAACCGGGAGGGUGGCAUUGAUACUGUAUGACUUGAGUAAAGUUGAGGUUGGCGGAAUUGACGGUGUAGCGGUGAAAUGCUUAGAUAUCGUCAAGAACACCGAUUGCGAAGGCAGCUAACUAAGCUUAACUGACGCUGAGGCACGAAAGUGUGGGGAUCAAACAGG